AUGACUUCAUCCUCUCGUGAAGAAAGCGGGUGGGAGGAAACCAGAGCGUCGACGCCAAACGCCCUCUGAACCUGUUGCUGCACCAUCAGGUCUUUCUUCAGGAGAGAAAACACAUUUCAGGAUAUUCAAUAUUGCCCUUUUGUGUCUCACGGGGGAAAAAUCAUACAGGUUUGGACGACAUGAGGAUGUGAGUUUUACUCUGAUUCUGAGAGGAACCACUGCAGAACCGGUUCCUUGUUCUCCGCCAGCCACUUAAUCUUGGCUCUUGUCUUCUCGAUGGCCUGCUGCAGCGCUUGAGUUCCCGAGCCGAAUCCGGUCUCAGCG